CCUACGGGAGGCAGCAGUGAGGAAUAUUGGUCAAUGGGCGCGAGCCUGAACCAGCCAAGUAGCGUGAAGGAUGACUGCCCUACGGGUUGUAAACUUCUGUUAUAAAGGAAUAAAGUGAGGCACGUGUGCCUUUUUGUAUGUACUUUAUGAAUAAGGAUCGGCUAACUCCGUGCCAGCAGCCGCGGUAAUACGGAGGAUCCGAGCGUUAUCCGGAUUUAUGGGGUUUAAAGGGAGCGUAGAUGGGUUGUUAAGUCAGUUGGGAACGUUUGCGGCUCAACCGUAAAAUUGCAAUUGAUACUGGCAGCCUUGAGUACAGUUGAGGUAGGCGUAAUUCGUGUUGUAGCGGUGAAAUGCUUAGAUCUCACGAAGAACUCCGAUUGCGACGGCAGCUUACUAAACUGCCACUGACAUUGAUGCUCGAAAGUGUGGGUAUCAAACAGGAUUAGAUACCCCAGUAGUC
rnacentral:rRNA from 1 species